rnacentral:RNase_P_RNA from 1 species
UCAGACGGCCGGGCGGUCGCUCUCGCUUUGCGGCGAGGGAGGAAAGUCCGGGCUCCACGACGAGAUGGCGGCGGGUAACGCCCGCCGGGGGCGACCCCAGGGACAGCGCCACAGAAAGCAAACCGCCCUGCGAGCGAUCGCCGGGUAAGGGUGAAAGGGUGCGGUAAGAGCGCACCGCGGCUCCAGCAAUGGAGGCGGCACGGCAAGCCCCGCCAGGAGCAAGACCGAAUAGGGACCCCGCGCCGGCGCAAGUCGGCAGGCCUUCGUCGGCCGAGGGGUCCGGGUAGGUCGCGAGAACCGUCCAGCAAUGGGCGGUCCAGAGGAAUGGCCGCCGCGUCCGCCAGCGCCCGCAAGGGUGAAGGCGGGCGGCACAGAACCCGGCUUACAGGCCGUCUGAUCCC